CUAUGAUACUCCUAGCUCAACCUGCACAUACUGAGAUUAUAGGCUUGAGCCACCACAUCUCAAAUAGAUCAAAGGAACUGGCCGAGCCACGGCACUGAGGUCCCAGCUCUGCGUCUGUGGUUGUCCAGUUGGACUAUUUCCUUCUUGCUUCCCAUUCAUCUGUCCCACGGCCGCUAAAAGCCUGUAGAAGGAACUCUGCAACAUGCUGAGAAGUGCAGAGAAGAACACAAAUGCUAUACUUUGUGUUGUCAAGAAGCGGAGUCGACACCAGGAUCUGCAAAAGAGACGUGCUUCGAGCACCUGGCUCAUUCCAGGCAUGGUGGCUGUCAUCAGGAAGAUGAAAGACCACACAUGCUGGCAAGGAUAUGGGGAAAGAGGAACUCUUACUCAUUGCUGGUAGGAACAUAAAGUCGAGCGACCACUGUGGCAAUCUGUAUGGAGGGGCCUCAAAAAUGGAAAAUAGAAUCAUAAGCCCCAACUCUUUAUAACUUAAAACUCUUAGGUCGAUUUCUCACGGGUACUUGCGUGUUCACAUGCAGCAGCUGUUCACUUGGCCAGGAGGUGGGAGCAGCCUAGAUGCCCGUCCACGGGUAACAAUGAAGAAAUAGAAAACCAAGCCUUAAAAAAACAAAAAUAAAGAGAAAGAAAGGAGGAGGGAAGAAACAGAGCAAAUAUGAAACAGGGCCGCCAUGACUGGCUCCCAGCUUCCUGGCAGCCAGGACAGAAAAGGAACAAAUCCUGCCCCGGCAGUCUCAUCAGAAGGGAAGAAGCCCAUGGUUAUUUUGGUCCUUUAAACCCCAUGCUCAGUUCUCACCUGGAAGCCCGCAUAAGGACAUUGAUAGACACAAUAAUUAAUGUUUUUGGCAAGCGCUUUACCGCAAAUGCCAAUUUUUGUCUGCCAUUUCUUGUGCAGGCCUUUAAUUAAGGUCAAGGGCUUAACACUGAGGCAGACAUCGGUGAGGGCUUGGCUAACCUGGUUCUACAACCACCUGCAACACAAUGCAGGCUGGGAAUAAAGGGCUGCUUAGCCCUACGAGCGAGGUCGAGCCGGAGCUCAGAGGACCACGUGGUUAUCCUUGAAUCGGAAAGCGAAGCAAGCUCUGACAAAGGAGGCAGCCAUUGGGACUCCAUGACUGGAAGUCAACAUGUCAGAAGUGGGGUUUGUGCACAAGUGCAGGGUCUUGUGAAAUGGAAAUGCCUGGCCUGUUUGGAGAAUGUCAAGUUGUCUGGAGUCGAGAGAAAGAUGCUAAUAAGACUUCCAUUAAAUAAGUUGGGUUUGCCACUUGGACAUUUUCUGGUUCUUCCAAGACAACUUUUUUGUUGAGUUAAGCGAAAAUGAAUGAGAAUCAGAUGGACCACAUUUCUCUUGAAUACACACGGGCUUAACAAUGAAGGGGGAGAAAGAACUUGACAGAAUUUGUCCUGGCUUCUGCCAAACCCAAAGUAUUUGAAGAAUCACACACAGGACGCAGCUCGAACCCAAACACAUGCCCAGCUUCUCCAGCUCCUAAUUGCAGCUGCAGCCGGUUAAUACAAUGAAUUGUGCCCGUGAAAAUGGGGUCUGAAUGCAGGGGCCAUGUUAAAGGGAAUGACUGCUGCAGGCUGGUGAGCUGACCUCACCCUCCAGGAACCAGUUCAUUGCCUCGCAGGGAAAGAGAGUGGAUCAAUGUGAAGUUUUUUAGACUAUUGAAUCCAGCUCUCUUUAGAGAACAAUUAAAGUCUGUUAUUUAACUUCA